rnacentral:rRNA from 1 species
AUUGAACGCUGGCGGCAUGCCUUACACAUGCAAGUCGAACGGCAGCACGGGAGCAAUCCUGGUGGCGAGUGGCGAACGGGUGAGUAAUAUAUCGGAACGUGCCCAGUCGUGGGGAUAACGUAGCGAAAGCUACGCUAAUACCGCAUACGAUCUAUGGAUGAAAGCGGGGGAUCGCAAGACCUCGCGCGAUUGGAGCGGCCGAUAUCAGAUUAGGUAGUUGGUGAGGUAAAGGCUCACCAAGCCGACGAUCUGUAGCUGGUCUGAGAGGACGACCAGCCACACUGGGACUGAGACACGGCCCAGACUCCUACGGGAGGCAGCAGUGGGGAAUUUUGGACAAUGGGCGCAAGCCUGAUCCAGCAAUGCCGCGUGCAGGAUGAAGGCCUCGGUUGUAA